ACGUAAGUCCAAAGAUUUAUCGCCGAGGGAUGAGCCCGCGUAGGAUUAGGUAGUUGGUGUGGUAAAGGCGCACCAAGCCGACGAUCCUUAGCUGGUCUGAGAGGAUGAUCAGCCACACUGGGACUGAGACACGGCCCAGACUCCUACGGGAGGCAGCAGUGGGGAAUAUUGGACAAUGGGCGAAAGCCUGAUCCAGCAAUGCCGCGUGAGUGAUGAAGGCCUUAGGGUUGUAAAGCUCUUUUACCCGGGAUGAUAAUGACAGUACCGGGAGAAUAAGCUCCGGCUAACUCCGUGCCAGCAGCCGCGGUAAUACGGAGGGAGCUAGCGUUAUUCGGAAUUACUGGGCGUAAAGCGCACGUAGGCGGCUUUGUAAGUAAGAGGUGAAAGCCCAGAGCUCAACUCUGGAAUUGCCUUUUAGACUGCAUCGCUUGAAUCAUGGAGAGGUCAGUGGAAUUCCGAGUGUAGAGGUGAAAUUCGUAGAUAUUCGGAAGAACACCAGUGGCGAAGGCGGCUGACUGGACAUGUAUUGACGCUGAGGUGC
rnacentral:rRNA from 1 species